rnacentral:tRNA from 1 species
AGCCCGAUAGUCUAGCGGUCAAACAAUUUUGGAUCAGGGAUCUCAGGCUCUGGACCUGGGGACGGCAGUUCGAAUCUGCCUCGGGCUA